AUGCGCGAAAGUGCGACAGGGCCCCCCGAGUGCUAGCCGCUGAGGUUAGCUUUUCCUUAGUGUAGUAAGCUAAGGGAAUAAGCGGGGGGCAAGCCUGGUGUCAGCCGCCGCGGUAAUACCAGCUCCGCGAGUGGUCGGGACGAUUAUUGGGCCUAAAGCGUCCGUAGCCGGCCUAUCAAGUCUCUGGUUAAACCUCAAGGCUCAACCUUGAGAUUGCUGGAGAUACUGUUAGGCUAGGGGGCGGGAGAGGUUGAGGGUACUUCGCGGGUAGGGGCGAAAUCCUAUAAUCCGCGAAGGACCACCAGUGGCGAAGGCGCUCAACUGGAACGCGCCCGACGGUGAGGGACGAAAGCCAGGGGAGCAAAGGGGAUUAGAUACCCCCGUAGUCCUGGCUGUAAACGAUGCGGGCUAGGUGUUGGGUUGGCUUCGUGCCAACCCGGUGCCGCAGUGAAGACGAUAAGCCCGCCGCCUGGGAAGUACGGCUGCAAGGCUGAAACUUAAAGGAAUUGGCGGGGGAGCAC
rnacentral:rRNA from 1 species